rnacentral:rRNA from 1 species
UAAGGAAUAUUGGACAAUGCUCGCAAGAGUGAUCCAGCCAUGCCGCGUGCAGGAAGACGGCCCUAUGGGUUGUAAACUGCUUUUGAACUAGAGAAAACCCUCCUACGUGUAGGAGGCUGAUAGUAUAGUUAGAAUAAGCAUCGGCUAACUUCGUGCCAGCAGCCGCGGUAAGACGAAGGAUGCAAGCGUUAUCCGGAUUCAUUGGGUUUAAAGGGAGCGUAGGUGGACUGAUAAGUCAGUGGUGAAAUCUCUCGGCUUAACCGAGAAAUUGCCAUUGAUACUGUUGGUCUUGAGUACAGUUGCUGUGGGCGGAAUAUGACAUGUAGUGGUGAAAUACAUAGAGAUGUCAUAGAACACCGAUUGCGAAGGCAGCUCACAAAGCUGUAACUGACACUGAGGCUCGAAAGUGCGGGGAUCAAACA